rnacentral:lncRNA from 1 species
GCAGGGACUCUCCCCUCAGCGCCUCGAUCGCAGAGAGAGAACAGAAUUCUUUUUAUAUCACCUGGAGCUUUACUAAGAAUGUCGCAUGAUUCUCCACUAAGUGGAACCCAUCCCUCCGGGGGCUUAUAAUAAAGUGAAGCACCACAGUGACAAAAUAAUCCUGCGGAAGGCACCAGGUUGGGGCAUGAAGUCCUGCUGCAGAUCCACUUGGGCUGUUGCUGAUGGAUCAGCUGAUGAGCAAAUCGUUUGAGCUCCCUCUGCCACCACGCCUGCCUCCUAAAUGGUGUGACAGCAGCUUGAAGAGAUCCACAGCUCUCCAAGAGCAGUUUCCUUGGUGGUUCUCAAAAACGCCUCAAGAAAAAUGUCCAACACUUAGCAAAACCUAAGGCAUUGUCUUUGAGGAGUCGCACACCAGCAGGAAGUGACCGAGGGAGCCGUGGGCUGCUUCUAAGCCUGUGGACCGCCUGCUUUGGGAAACUUGAGGAUCAGAGAGAAUAAGAGGUUUAUCCAAGGCCACCAUUGUCAGCAGACAAGCUGGGACUGCAAGCUGGAGAAUCUGACCAGGGCGCAGUGGACACUGCGAUGUGCUACCCAGAGCCUGUUCAGGAACAACUUAUCUCCCCAGCUGCUGGAAGUGCUAUCACAAGAGAGCCCUCAAAUGUCAAAGUGCCUCAGCUGACAAGAGUCACCUUGCCCAAGGUCAUACACCGUUUCCAGGUGGCUCACACCCAGUGAUGGAGGGUUACAAAGGACGCCAGCUGGGACAACUCUAAAGGGCCCUUCCAGCUCCACAGCUCCCCAAGGGGUCACCUGAGGCCUUCCUCUGCCCAUUCUGCUUCCUUCCUCUCCUUUCCACAGGUGUGGCUCCCCAGACCUCUCCCUAAUAAACACCCGGACAAUAAUCUUCCCCUCAGAGUUGACUUCCCAGAGAACCCAACAUGUGACAGUUGGGAGGUACCAGGAGUGGUUGGAGAAAGCAGACACUAAGAUGAGAUAUUGGAGCUGGAUCAUCUGCCACCAGACUGAUGAUGAAAACCCAUCGCUGGUGGGAGGCAGAGGCCAGACAGCCCUGGCACACGAUGGAAGCACAGUUGUUGGAACCUCCAGCAGUGGUGAAAAGGGACAGCAUAUGAGUGUAGGGAAUGCAUUAACUGGUGCCAUGCAUCCGGCACUUGAGAAAUGCAGGGGAAAUCAUUGCCAUAAGGACAACAGAAUUGCGUGACUACUGUUGAAGCUGAUUGACUUCUGGAAAAAGAUAAGGAAAACCUGAGAGUGAUUAAUCAACCAUUUAAAGCCAGGUUUGACAGCCAGGGGCCUUCUUGGGGGCAGGUAAAGAGGCUCUCAUCUUCUGCGGGGGGAGGCAGACAAGACUGAAGACAGGCAAGGAACUCCAUCUCCAGAGCAGCAGUUUCAGAAAGGCUUACACUUUUAAACAAGCCAUGCCUGCUGUACCAAGGCCAGGGCUCUGGUUGGAAAGAAUGGUCCCCUGACACAUGGGAUGGGAUGCCCAGGGUGAGGCUGCUGAGAAUCUUGAAAGUCUGGAUACUGCUGACCCCUCUGAGCCCACAGAAUAGGCUGCUCCUCCCCAGCCCCCUGCUUGAAGAUGGUGCAGAGGCCUCUCCCCGAUCAAACGUGUGUGCUCCUUUCAGGGUCAGACCCAUCUCCCCUUCUGGCCACAAAUCCUAUUACUAGGGUAAAGGCACAACUUAGCCCAGCCAGGGACAUGCUGGGCCUGAGAAGGAGGAAAGGGACUCUCCCACUAAGGAGCUGGAGCUGCAGGACCCACCACCUGGAGCAGCAGGGCGGGCAGGGCAUGCAGAGGACGGGACUCUGAGGAUGCUGGGGCAACGGGGGUGGAACACGACGGCUGAUAAAGGAAAUGUUAUGGGUUGGGAGCCUUCUCCUGGAUCCAGGAUGGAGCAUCCAAGGAAGGGCCUGGGGGAUGGUGCGGACAUGCUACCAGGAAGGCCCCUGGUAGUGGGAGAGGUGAUGCUGCACUGAGGCCAGAAUGCCAGAGCUUCAGCGGCACGUGGUGAAGAGAUUAAACUGCUCAGAGGAAUGUACAUGCUCACGGGGUAUCCUACACAAGGCUGGAAAACUCAGCAGGGGGAUAGACUCCCCAUGAAGGUCCAUGGGACACUCUGCUCCCCAAGGCACUAAGGAGUCCGCUGGUGAGAGGGGCUCCGGCUGCGCUCAGAAGUUCAGUGGUGGCUCUGCAGGACACGCUGCCACAGACCUGGACUCACCGACAGGAAAGGGAAUGAAAGGACUCCAAAACCACAGAGGCCACUUCAUGGCAUGUCACCAUCAGAAGCCAGGGGAGGCAAUUAUCACAGUGAGUGUGCAGGUCAGAGGUGUAGCCAGGGCUCCUGACCCACAGGGAGUUAGGAAAAUAGUUACUAGAACACAGGGCCCCUGGGGCAAAAUAGAGGGGCAGCCAAAAAGGAUAGCAUUCCAUCUGUGCAAUCAAGGAAAUCAAGCAUGGAGGAACUGGAGGCUGAGGGCAGUACCCCAGUUUCACUCAAUUUCUAGACGUGAUCCAGAUUUUGGACCCAGAGCUCACUGACUGGAGGAGAAUCUGUGUCCCCAGGAGGAGGGAAGGAGAGAAGGAAGGAAGGAACGAACGAAGGAACGAAGGAAGGAAGGAAGGGAGGGAAGGAUGGAGGAAGGAAGGAAGGAAGGCAGGGCCUGC